GGGUAGCCGGCCUGAGAGGGCGACCGGCCACACUGGGACUGAGACACGGCCCAGACUCCUACGGGAGGCAGCAGUGGGGAAUAUUGCACAAUGGGCGAAAGCCUGAUGCAGCGACGCCGCGUGAGGGAUGACGGCCUUCGGGUUGUAAACCUCUUUCAGCAGGGACGAAGCGCAAGUGACUGUACCUGCAGAAGAAGCACCGGCUAACUACGUGCCAGCAGCCGCGGUAAUACGUAGGGUGCGAGCGUUGUCCGGAAUUACUGGGCGUAAAGAGUUCGUAGGCGGUUUGUCGCGUCGUGUGUGAAAUCCCGCAGCUCAACUGCGGGCUUGCAGGCGAUACGGGCAGACUUGAGUACUGCAGGGGAGACUGGAAUUCCUGGUGUAGCGGUGAAAUGCGCAGAUAUCAGGAGGAACACCGGUGGCGAAGGCGGGUCUCUGGGCAGUAACUGACGCUGAGGAACGAAAGCGUGGGUAGCGAACAGGAUUAGAUACCCUGGUAGUCCACGCCGUAAACGGUGGGCGCUAGGUGUGGGUUUCCUUCCACGGGAUCCGUGCCGUAGCUAACGCAUAAGC
rnacentral:rRNA from 1 species